rnacentral:rRNA from 1 species
CUGAGGAGCGAAAGCAUGGGGAGCGAACAGGAUUAGAUACCCUGGUAGUCCAUGCCGUAAACGUUGGGCGCUAGGUGUGGGGCUCAUUCCACGAGUUCUGUGCCGCAGCAAACGCAUUAAGCGCCCCGCCUGGGGAGUACGGCCGCAAGGCUAAAACUCAAAGGAAUUGACGGGGGCCCGCACAAGCGGCGGAGCAUGCGGAUUAAUUCGAUGCAACGCGAAGAACCUUACCAAGGCUUGACAUACAGGGUAAUCCGGCAGAGACGUCGGGUCCGCAAGGGAUCCUGUACAGGUGGUGCAUGGUUGUCGUCAGCUCGUGUCGUGAGAUGUUGGGUUAAGUCCCGCAACGAGCGCAACCCUCGUCCUAUGUUGCCAGCGCGUUAUGGCGGGGACUCAUAGGAGACUGCCGGGUCAACUCGGAGGAAGGUGGGGAUGAGGUCAAAUCAUCAUGCCCCUUAUGUCUUGGGCUUCACGCAUGCUACAAUGGCCCGUACAAAGGGCUGCGAAACCGCGAGGUGGAGCGAAUCCCAAAAAACCGGUCUCAGUUCGG